rnacentral:misc_RNA from 1 species
AACGCAAAUUGCGCUCGAGGCCUCGGCCAAGAGCAUGUCUGCCUCAGCGUCGGGUUAAAACUCAUCGCAUCCAUCCAUGUGGUGGUUGUACGGUGGAACUGGCUGUCCUGCCGAUCUUCGUACAUGUACAAGAGAAGCGGGUCAGCUGAAGCGGAGCUGUUGCUGAUGGACCCUACUAUGGGCCUCUACUGGGUAGGCAACUUGUUUGCUGUAUUGCUUUAGUAGAUGGCUUGGGUACUGUCUUUGGCACGAAGCAGGAGUAUCUGUUCAUACAGGUACAACCAAUACCAUUUUCUCGACCUGAGCUCAGGCAAGAUUACCCGCUGAACUUAA